GUUCAAUCGUGGGUGUGCGGUCACGAUUAGAUUACGGUGCAGAACUGGAGGAUACACUGAUGAUGGGUGCGGACAACUACGAAACUGAAGCCGAAAUCGCAUCUCUUUUAGCAGAGGGUAAGGUUCCCAUCGGCGUAGGAGAGAAUACAAAGAUCAGGAAUUGCAUUAUCGACAUGAAUGCGAGGAUUGGAAAAAAUGUGGUCAUUCUGAACAAAGAUGGUGUUCAAGAAGCCGACAGGCCAGAAGAUGGAUUCUACAUACGCUCUGGAAUCGCAGUAGUUCUGAAGAACGCUACGAUAAGAGAUGAGACCAUCAUCUAGAAUGAUGCAUCGUUCACUGCACUACUGGCGAGGCCAUUGAUGUAGUGGAAGAAAAUAUGGAAGGCUAUGUUUGCGUGUCCUACUUAGUAAUAAGCUGCUCAAGGUGGUCAGGUCGAUGUCAUGUAAAUACGAGCCUUGCAAGGAUCGGAGAUUGUAAUAAGCUGCUUAAGGUAGUCAGGUCGAUGUCGUGUAAAUACGAGCCUUGCAAGGAUCGGA
rnacentral:misc_RNA from 1 species